UGGGGGAUAUUGCACAAUGGGGGGAACCCUGAUGCAGCGACGCCGCGUGAGGGAAGAAGGUUUUCGGAUUGUAAACCUCUGUCUUCGGUGACGAAAAGAUGACGGUAACCGAGGAGGAAGCCAUGGCUAACUACGUGCCAGCAGCCGCGGUAAUACGUAGAUGGCAAGCGUUGUCCGGAAUUACUGGGUGUAAAGGGAGCGUAGGCGGGUGUGCAAGUUGGAUGUGAAAUACACAGGCUUAACCUGUGAACUGCAUUCAAAACUGUGCAUCUUGAGUGAAGUAGAGGUAGGCGGAAUUCCUAGUGUAGCGGUGAAAUGCGUAGAUAUUAGGAGGAACACCAGUGGCGAAGGCGGCCUACUGGGCUUUUACUGACGCUGAGGCUCGAAAGCAUGGGUAGCAAACAGG
rnacentral:rRNA from 1 species